rnacentral:rRNA from 1 species
AGAAUCUUCCGCAAUGGGCGCAAGCCUGACGGAGCGAUGCCGCGUGAGGGACGGAGGCCUCCGGGUCGUGAACCUCUGUCGCCCGGGACGAUAGUGACGGUACCGGGAAAGGAAGCCACGGCUAACCACGUGCCAGCAGCCGCGGUAACACGUGGGUGGCGAGCGUUAUUCGGAUUCACUGGGCGUAAAGGGUCCGCAGGGGGCCCGGCGCGCCCGCCAUGAAACGCCAAGGCCCAACCUUGGCCCUGCGGCGGGUACGGCCGGGCUUGAGCGCGCGAUGGGCAGACGGAACUCCGGGUGUAGCGGUGGAAUGCGUGGAUAUCCGGAAGAACACCGACGGCGAAGGCGGUCUGCUGGCGCGCGACUGACCCUCAGGGACGAGAGCGUGGGUAGCGAACA